rnacentral:rRNA from 1 species
GACGAACCGUGCGAACGUUAUUCGGAAUCACUGGGCUUAAAGGGCGCGUAGGCGGACUUGCAAGUCUGCGGUGAAAGCCUCCAGCUUAACUGGAGAAGUGCCGUGGAUACUGCGGGUCUCGAGGAGGGUAGGGGCAUCUGGAACGUUGGGUGGAGCGGUGAAAUGCGUUGAUAUCCAACGGAACUCCGGUGGCGAAGGCGAGGUGCUGGAUCUCUUCUGACGCUGAGGCGCGAAAGCCAGGGGAGCAAACGGG